UACGUAGGGGGCAAGCGUUGUCCGGAUUUACUGGGCGUAAAGAGCGCGUAGGCGGAAAUUUAAGCGUGGCCUGAAAGCCCCCGGCUCAACCGGGGACGUGCGGCUGCGAACUGGAUUUCUUGAGGACGAUAGAGGAGAGUGGAAUUCCUGGUGUCAGCGGUGAAAUGCGUAGAUAUCAGGAGGAACACCCGAGGCGAAGGCGGCUCUCUGGGUCGUACCUGACGCUGAGGCGCGAAAGCGUGGGAGCGAACGGG
rnacentral:rRNA from 1 species